rnacentral:lncRNA from 1 species
AUGGUUUUGAAAAUGGAUUAUACCCAACUUCUAAAUCUACUGACUCCCAUGCAGCUUUUAGCAAACUGUCAUUCCAGUAAACUAUGGUUCUCAUCACCUUGCAUUAGACAGACCAUGCUUGUUUCGGCAGCACACAUACCUUACAUUAGAUGGACAAAAGGAGAAUGUAAACUGAAGUUCUCUGAAGAAGUCAUAUCCAUACUAAACAUCCUGCAGACUGCUUAACUGUGGCCGAGAAAUUUUCUUGGGCUAUCUUAGUCCUUUUAAUAGCCAUUUAUUUGCAGCAUCUGUAUCUGGCAAAACUCUUGAAAUAUGUUGCUAAGCUCAGGACCUGUAGCUUCCAUCCACCCUAAAGUUAAGAAUGCAAAAGAUAGCAUCUGAAAUUUAUAGAAAAGACUUUCCUGCUUGCUGUGGCCUGCCGAACUAAUGUUCUGCCAAAAUACUUACUGAAUAUAUUGAUUUAUGACUUUCUUGGUUCUGCGGCUAUAAAAGUUCAAGCAAUCUCUUUCACAGUGGAAGGUGUCACUCGAGGUAAUUUGAAUCCAGGUACUGGGACCAUGGUCACCGCUAUUUGGUCCAGAAUAAACAAUUUUCUGAUUUCUCUUAAAGCAGAGUCAUUAUUUUAUGUUGAUUCUUCUUCUAGCCUAUUUGUGUAGCAUUCCUUCCAAACAGGUAUGGGACAGGACCUCUUCUGGAAUGAGGGUCAUAAGAGCUGUUAUCAAAAGGUAGGACAGAGAAUUUCUUCAGGACCCUCUCCUACACAGGAAGAAGGAAGGUUAGAUCAGUAUUUCUAGGCUUUAAAACUGCUUUAGGAAAGAGGAGUUCUAGUUUCUAUAACCUGACUUGGGGAAGGUGUAUUCUGAUUUCUAUGGCAUAUCUAGGGGAACAGGGGACAGGAUAGAGAAUGGUAGCAGAACAUGUCUGAAAGAGACCCUGCUUCAGAGGGUUGCUUUUGAAGCACUCAGUAUGUCAAAACAUCCGAUUCUGGAGUAUUUUUUCUGAGCUCCAACAAUACCCUAUGGUGAUUCUGUGGGAGCCUUGCAGGAAACAGAGUAAACAAAAUAGAUCCCAUGGAACACAAAGGAAAAAGUCAAAAUCCAAGUGGAUUUGUAAUUAAAAUGCUGAAAAUCACUGAACUGUAAGGCAUUAGGUUACUGUUACUUUGAGAAAAUACACACAGGGGCUGCAAGGAGGUACGUUUUUAUAAGACAAAGAUUGCUCAAAAAAAAUAUUUUUUGAAAUGUCAUUUAUAGAGAACUUUCCCAAAGGCACAUCUUCAAUGGGCAAAUGUAUAUACCUACAUAUUUACGGUGGAGUCUAUACCUCCCCUGAGACAGCUUAUCUCAUUUCCAGUUCUCCUUGCUGGGCCUACCUUGAAAUUAUGAAAUUACUCAUGCUUCCCUAUGCAGAAUGAGUGGAAGAAGGAAAGAAAGAAGAAAGAAAAAGAAAGAAGAAAAAAAGAAAGAAAAAGAAAGAAAGAAAGAGAGAGAGAGAAAGAAAGAAAGAAAGAAAGAAAGAAAGAAAGAAAGAAAGAAAGAAAGAAAGAAAGAAAGAAAGAAAAAGAAGACAGGAACAUAUUUUAAUGAGUGAGAAGAGCAAAUGUAAUCUUUAAAGGUGGCCAACUUCAGUCCUACAAUUAUUUAGAAAGGAAAGCUGGCUUUAAGCACUGCUGCUUGCAGGCAGGAUUUGCACCUGGCCAGGAACAAGGCUGCUGCUGGAAGAUGACUCAGUCGUACGGCUGGAGAAAUGAGACAGGCAGUGAGAGGAGAAAGACAGUGGUCCUGCUAACCCAAAGGGUCUUAAAUUUGUUUUUAUGACACGGAGGUUGUGCAGGCCCAGAGCUGGUGCAAACCGGGAGGGGGUGUCCAGUGUAACAAAAUCUGAGACCCCGAAAAAUGCACUACAUUUUGAACCGGAGGCUAAAACUCAACCUCCCUUACCUCCCACCUCCGCCUAGGCCAGAAUUCGAGCGCGCAAUCUCUCUCUUGUAAGGGUCCAACCGGGGACGGAGCCGGGUGACCUUCGCCAGGCCUCGGAGUCUCCUCUGGGAAGUCCCCGCCGCCCUCUCCGCGCUCUGCGGGCAGCUGCCAGCGCCCCCGCCCCGAGCGCUCGGAACGCCUUGGGGGCUCCCCCGCCGCCCACUGCGCCCCGCCAGCGG